GUCUAAGUAGCUCACAUGGAAGAGCAGUCGCCCCGCAAGCGAUAGGUCGUGGGUUCGAUUCCCGCCUUAGGCA